AGUGAACGCUGGCGGUAGGCCUAACACAUGCAAGUCGAACGGCAGCACAGGAGAGCUUGCUCUCUGGGUGGCGAGUGGCGGACGGGUGAGGAAUACAUCGGAAUCUACUUUUUCGUGGGGGAUAACGUAGGGAAACUUACGCUAAUACCGCAUACGACCUACGGGUGAAAGCAGGGGAUCUUCGGACCUUGCGCGAUUGAAUGAGCCGAUGUCGGAUUAGCUAGUUGGCGGGGUAAAGGCCCACCAAGGCGACGGUCCGUAGCUGGUCUGAGAGGAUGAUCAGCCACACUGGAACUGAGACACGGUCCAGACUCCUACGGGAGGCAGCAGUGGGGAAUAUUGGACAAUGGGCGCAAGCCUGAUCCAGCCAUACCGCGUGGGUGAAGAAGGCCUUCGGGUUGUAAAGCCCUUUUGUUGGGAAAGAAAUCCAGCUGGCUAAUACCCGGUUGGGAUGACGGUACCCAAAGAAUAAGCACCGGCUAACUUCGUGCCAGCCGCCGCAGUAA
rnacentral:rRNA from 1 species